AGGACGAACGCUGGCGGCGUGCUUAACACAUGCAAGUCGAGCGGAAAGGCCCUUCGGGGUACUCGAGCGGCGAACGGGUGAGUAACACGUGAGUAAUCUGCCCCUAGCUCUGGGGAUAGCUCCGGGAAACCGGGAUUAAUACCGGAUACGACCACCUUAGACAUCUUUUGUGGUGGAAAGAAUUUCGGCUAGGGAUGAGCUCGCGGCCUAUCAGCUUGUUGGUGGGGUGAUGGCCUACCAAGGCGACGACGGGUAGCCGGCCUGAGAGGGCGACCGGCCACACUGGGGACUGAGACACGGCCCAGACUCCUACGGGAGGCAGCAGUGGGGAAUAUUGCACAAUGGGCGCAAGCCUGAUGCAGCGACGCCGCGUGAGGGAUGACGGCCUUCGGGUUGUAACCUCUUCAGCAGGGACGAAGCGUAAGUGACGGUACCUGCAGAAGAAGCGCCGGCCAACUACGUGCCAGCAGCCGCGGUAA
rnacentral:rRNA from 1 species